rnacentral:lncRNA from 1 species
GGUGGAUGACCUUGAGUGAACCCAGAGGAGAUAAACUCAUCCCUGCUAGGCAGCAGAGCAUUUCCAGUCACUAGUCUCUGAGAAGACGCUAACUUACUGCCAGAGAUGACGAGAGUUGGCCAGACUUAAGAAAGACUGGCUAGGUCUGGUGGUACCUACCCAUAAUUCCCUGUUCUCAGAGGUAGAGGGAGGAGCAUCAGACAGUCAAGGCCUGUCUGCCUAACAGAUUCAAAGCUACAUAAAACAGAAAGAAGGAGAGGGAGCGCAUGGGCGUGGGGUGCCUUCCUAGCCGAGAGAAGUACGUCUCAGUCAGACAGUUGCUAAAAGGAGCUAAUGGCUGCCUCUGGCUUCCGUUCUGUAGGACUCCGAAGAGGAGGAAAAUGAGCUGGAAGCUGUCAGCCGGAAGCUGAUGCACGCACAGCCUUACGUGCCCGUGGAGUUUGCUGACUUCAGUGUUUACAAUGCCAGCUUGGAGAACAGGGAGUGGUCGUCUUCUAAAGCAGACCUGACAGACUCCAGAGCCUUGGAGAAAGCAGUGUCUCGUAGCCCUACCACCAGCAGCCUCACCAGUGGCUACUUCUCCCACAGUGCCUCCAACGCCACUCUGUCUGACAUGGCAGUCCCUUCCAGCGACAGCUCAGACCAGCUAGCCCUCUCCACCAAGGAGGCCGAGUGCCGGGAGCACUCGGGACCAUCACUCGCACCCGACUUCACACCAGCU